rnacentral:rRNA from 1 species
AACGAACGCUGGCGGCGUGUUUAAGACAUGCAAGUCGCACGGGAUAAGACAUGUAGUAAUACUUGUUUUAUUUAGUGGCGCACGGGUGAGUAACACGUGAAUUACAUGCCCUAUAGUGGGGAAUAGCCCAGGGAAACUUGGAUUAAGACCCCAUGGUAUCGAAAGAUUAAAGGUGGCCGCAAGGCUGUCGCUAUAGGAUUGGUUCGCGCCCUAUCAGCUUGUUGGUGAGGUAACGGCUCACCAAGGCAAUGACGGGUACCUGGUCUGAGAGGACGAACAGGCACACUGGAACUGAGACACGGUCCAGACACCUACGGGUGGCAGCAGUCGAGAAUAAUUCACAAUGGGGGCAACCCUGAUGGUGCAACGCCGCGUGGAGGAUGACGGUCUUCGGAUUGUAAACUCCUGUCAUCUGGGAGAAAGACCUGACGGUAAAUAGCCGGCAGGGUUGAUAGUACCAGAAGAGGAAGGGACGGCUAACUUCGUGCCAGCCGCCGCGGUAA